CGGAUUUCUUGCUACCGUUACACAUUGGACAGGGCAGCAGCCUGUAGCCUCCGCAGACUUGGCACGUCGUACAUGCAUCCGGACUCUGAAAUCAUUGGAUGAAAUUAUAUUAUAACGCUGUCGAAAAUCGAUUUAUUUAUAACAUAGGGAUGGAGGAGAAAUGUCUGUGCGGAGCAUAUUUAAGUGAAACUUGUUAAGUUAAGCUCCACCUAGACCGGUGGCGAAAAUUUCAAUACUGGAUUUUUGAGCAAAAAGAUGCUGGUGCCUGGUUCACGAUUUUAAACUACAAAUGAUUCAAAAGCGUGAUUCAAUCAUAAUAAACGGUACAUCCAUCAUUUUGAACCGUAUUUGUUCGAUGGUUCCUUUUUGUUGUGUUAUAUAUUAGAUAACAUCGUGACUUGGGUUGUGAAAAGUGAAAACAUUAAGCAUUGAACAAAUUUGAAAUAUUUACAUAAUCCACACGUAAAUUCGAGUACAUUUAUAUACAUACAUAAUAUAUUUUAUUGUUUGUUAUAGCCGGCGGCAGUAUGAUGGAACAACAAUGGCAUGGGUAAUAGAUAGGUGGAGAUGCAAUGAAGUGAGAAGUGAGAGAAAGAGAGAGACCUCUGUCAGAGAGAAUCUUUUCAUAUUAAAAAAACUAUCGAGUAUAUAGUAGUCCGGAAUAGGAAAGUUGGAUUUUGUAGUGUAUAUGUGUUUGUGUGUGUGUAUGUUUGAUGGCAUCGGACAACAGGAUAUUCUUGUCUGCACCGGAAGGAACGUUCCGAAUAUGAAAACGGAUUAAUGAAACAUAAAUCUUUUGGCUUUACCUUAAAUGGUUUUAAAAUCGAUCGGAGUUCCCCAGAUUCGUUCAGUCUGUCUACGGCUGCUGCAUCCUGAGAACAAAAUCAAACGUCGUUUAAUCUUUAAUCAUUAUCAUGAACCAAUGGCUAUGAUUAUUGUAAACGGCUAAUAUGAAAUAUUUUUUUUAAUCGUUAGUUUGAAAAAGACAUCGACGAUCAUUAAAUUCAAAUGUCGUAAACUUUUAACAACAUCGUUAGAUUGUUA